AGCGGUGUAGCAUAGUGGUAAGGUGCUGUGCUUGUAACCAAAAGGUUGCCGGUUCGAUUCCUCGCUGGGGCACUGCUG